GCAACCCCUGCUUUACUGGGGGCUUACUAGGUUCAAUUUCACGUAACAGAAAACCUCAAAAUAACAGUAGCUUCAACAAGACUCACGUUUAUUUCUCUCUCAUGAAAAGAAGUCCAGGUGGACACCGCCCUGGGCUGGUGUGGUCCUACCAAUGAGGAAACUGAGGUUAGAGAGGUGUAGGUUCUUGGUCUCGGUUAUCAGCUCAAUUGCUCAUCGUCGGAUUUGCACAUAGUUCCUAAUGAUCCCAGGUUGCAGUUGUUGGCAUCAAGUCAAGCUCUGUGCUAUUUGGACAUUGUCAUCCCAAGCUCAUGUUGUCUAACUUUUUCCCUGUUUCUGACUUUGCUGCAGAUACAGCCUUUUCCUCCCUCUCCAUGAACUCUGGAAACAGUACAUCAGGGACCUGUGCAGUGGGCUCAAGCCAGACACGCAGCCACAGAUGAUUCAGGCCAAGCUCUUAAAGGCAGAUCUUCACGGGGCUAUUAUUUCAGUGACAAAAUCCAAAUGCCCCUCUUAUGUGGGUAUUACAGGAAUCCUUCUACAGGAAACAAAGCACAUUUUCAAAAUUAUCACCAAAGAAGACCGCCUGAAAG
rnacentral:lncRNA from 10 species